CCACAAUUUAUUUAUAAGCGACGUAAUGAGAAAAUAAAAUUCAGUUUGUUAUUGGAGUCCGUCGAGUGCACAUCUCUGCAGUGUUUCGACACGAAAUUACACUAAUAGAAGAAUAUAAAAGCAGAGGAGUAACCAAACAAAAGAGUAACAGAACAGAGAAGUAACCAAACAAAGGAGUAACAGAACAGAGAAGUAAUCAAACAGGGCAGUAACCAAACAAAGGAGUAACAGAACAGAGAAGUAAUCAAACAGGCCAGUAACCAAACAAAGGAGUAACAGAACAGAGAAGUAAUCAAACAGGCCAGUAACCAAACAAAGGAGUAACAGAACAGAGAAGUAAUCAAACAGGGCAGUAACCAAACAAAGGAGCAACAGAACAGAGAAGUAAUCAAACAGGGCAGUAACCAUACAAAGGAGCAACAGAACAGAGAAGUAAUCAAACAGGGCAGUAACCAUACAAAG